rnacentral:tRNA from 1 species
GGCCCCUUGGUCAAGCGGUUUUUAAGACACCGCCCUUUCACGGCGGUAACACGGGUUCGAAUCCCGUAGGGGUCA